UUCUGGACUUCCAGUUAUUGACGGAGUCACUAACUUCAUUACAUCUCCUUUUGUUUACAAUUUUAGAUAAAUACAAGAAAUUUGGAGAUGGAGCAAUAUGUGGCCCUCGUUUAUGAUUCUGGACACCACAUUUUGGUUUUGAGUUGCCCGAAGCAGUCACUGAACACUAUUUUUGUUUUGUUCUGAUCUCGACAUUGUCGAUAGAGUCCAAAUCAUCACUGCAUCUUCUUUUAUGGACUAUUUUUAAAAAUACAACUUAUCAAGAAAUGGAGUAAUAUGUAGUUAUGGAUCACCACAUUUAUAACUUCAUGUUUCCCGCAGCAGCCACUGAAAACAAAUUUUGUUUUGUUUUGAUCAGGACAUGUCCACAGUCCACUUCAUCACAACAACUAUUUUAUGGAAUAUUUAAACAAAAAACCAGUGGUGUAGAGAUGUCAAUAUCAACCAACAUUCUGCAUGAACUAUUUCAGCGAAAUGUGAAAAAACUUUGUGUUUAGUUUAAACUACAGU